AUAGUGCACGUGUCGUGCGGGUGAGAAGCUGCGCUCAGGUUCGAGCCGAGCGGAUGCGAGACAACAACGCGCUAGCGUUGGCCCGUAGGGUGAGGCCAGAGGCCGAAUUAUCCUGCACGACCCACCA
rnacentral:sRNA from 1 species